UGCAUUGGCCGGGAAUCGAGCCCAGCCCGCGCGCGUGGCAGGCGAGCAUUCUACCACUGAACCACCGAUGC